rnacentral:rRNA from 1 species
ACGGAAGGCAGCAGUGGGGAAUUUUGCGCAAUGGGGGAAACCCUGACGCAGCAACGCCGCGUGCGGGAUGAAGGCCUUCGGGUUGUAAACCGCUUUCAGCAGGGAAGAAAUUGACGGUACCUGCAGAAGAAGCUCCGGCUAACUACGUGCCAGCAGCCGCGGUAAUACGUAGGGAGCAAGCGUUAUCCGGAUUCAUUGGGCGUAAAGCGCGCGUAGGCGGCUUGUUAAGUCAGGUGUCAAAUCCAGAGGCUCAACCUCUGUCCGCACCUGAAACUGGCAGGCUUGAGUCUGGUAGAGGAAGAUGGAAUUCCCAGUGUAGCGGUGAAAUGCGCAGAUAUUGGGAAGAACACCAGUGGCGAAGGCGGUCUUCUGGGCCACGACUGACGCUGAGGCGCGAGAGCUGGGGGAGCAAACAGGAUUAGAUACCCUGGUA